rnacentral:rRNA from 1 species
UGCCAGCCGCCGCGGUAAUACGGAGGGUGCUAGCGUUGUUCGGAAUUACUGGGCGUAAAGAGUGCGUAGGCGGCAUAGCAAGUUGGAAGUGAAAUCCCGGGGCUCAACCUCGGAAUUGCUUUCAAAACUGUUAAGCUAGAGUAUGGUAGGGGAUAGUGGAAUUCCUAGUGUAGGGGUGAAAUCCGUAGAUAUUAGGAGGAACACCAGAGGCGAAGGCGACUAUCUGGGCCAUUACUGACGCUAAGGCACGAAAGCGUGGGGAGCGAACGGGAUUAGAUA